AGCAGCCGCGGUAAUUCCAGCUCCAAUAGCGUAUAUUAAAGUUGUUGCAGUUAAAAAGCUCGUAGUUGAAUUUCGGGGUUAGUAGGUUGGUCGUGCCUUUGGUAUGUACUGGUCUCACUGAUUCCUCCCUCUUGAAGAACUGUAAUGUCAUUUAAUUUGGUGUUGCAGGGAAACAGGACUGUUACUUUAGAAAAAUUGAGUGUUUAAAGCAGGCUAACGCCUGAAUACAUUAGCAUGGAAUAAUGAAAUAGGACGUUUGAUCCUAUUUUGUUGGUUUCUAGGAUUGACGUAAUGAUUAAUAGGGAUA
rnacentral:rRNA from 1 species